AACGAACGCUGGCGGCAUGCCUAACACAUGCAAGUCGAACGGGAUCCUAGCUUGCUAGGUGAGAGUGGCGGACGGGUGAGUAACACGUGGGAAUCUGCCUUUUGGUUCGGGAUAACCGCGGGAAACUGCGGCUAAUACCGAAUGCCCUCGAGAGAGGAAAGAUUUAUCGCCAGAAGAGGAGCCCGCGUCCGAUUAGGUAGUUGGUGGGGUAAAGGCCUACCAAGCCGACGAUCGGUAGCUGGUCUGAGAGGAUGAUCAGCCACACUGGGACUGAGACACGGCCCAGACUCCUACGGGAGGCAGCAGUGGGGAAUAUUGGACAAUGGGCGAAAGCCUGAUCCAGCAAUGCCGCGUGAGUGAAGAAGGCC
rnacentral:rRNA from 1 species